rnacentral:rRNA from 1 species
CUAUCCCGAGUGCCAUCCGCUGAGGAAGGCUUUUACCCAGUCUAGAACGCUGGGGGAAUAAGGAGAGGGCAAGUCUGGUGUCAGCCGCCGCGGUAAUACCAGCUCUCCGAGUGGUGUGGAUGUUUAUUGGGCCUAAAGCAUCCGUAGCUGGCUAGGUAAGUCCCUUGUUAAAUCCACCGAAUUAAUCGUUGGAUCGCGGGGGAUACUACUUGGCUAGGGGACGAGAGAGGCAGACGGUAUUUUCGGGGUAGGGGUGAAAUCCUAUAAUCCCGGGAAGACCACCAGUGGCGAAGGCUGUCUGCUAGAACGCGCCCGACGGUGAGGGAUGAAAGCUGGGGGAGCGAACCGGAUUAGAUACCCGGGUAGUCCCAGCUGUAAACGAUGCAGACUAGGUGUUUGGACGGCCACGUGCCGUUCUAGUGCCGCAGGGAAGCUGUUAAGUCUGCCGCCUGGGGAGUACGAUCGCAAGAUUGAAACUUAA